rnacentral:rRNA from 1 species
UACAGAGGGGGCGAGCGUUAUUCGGAAUUAUUGGGCGUAAAGGGCGCGUAGGCGGGUCAUUAAGUUUGUUGUUAAAUCCUCUGGCUUAACCAGAGACAAGCAAUAAAAACUGGUAACCUAGAGCGUGAGAGAGAGAAGUGGAAUUCCCGGAGUAGCGGUAAAAUGCGUAGAUCUCGGGAGGAACACCAAUGGCGAAGGCUGCUUCUUGGCUCAUUGCUGACGCUGGGGCGCGAAAGCGUGGGGAGCAAACAGG